rnacentral:rRNA from 1 species
UACGUAGGCAGCGAGCGUUGUUCGGAGUUACUGGGCGUAAAGGGUGUGUAGGCGGUUUUCUAAGUUUGGUUGUGAAAAUCUCCCGGCCUCAACCGGGAGGGUGCGCCGAAAACUGGGAGACUAGAGUGCGGGAUGGGAGAGUAGAAUUCCUGGUGUAGCGGUGAAAUGCGUAGAUAUCAGGAGGAAUACCGGUGGUGUAGACGGCUCUCUGGACCGCCACUGACGCUGAGACACGAAAGCGUGGGUAGCAAACAGG